GACGAACGCUGGCGGCGUGCUUAACACAUGCAAGUCGAACGGAAAGGCCCUGCUUUUGUGGGGUGCUCGAGUGGCGAACGGGUGAGUAACACGUGAGUAACCUGCCCUUGACUUUGGGAUAACUUCAGGAAACUGGGGCUAAUACCGGAUAGGAGCUCCUGCUGCAUGGUGGGGUUGGAAAGUUUCGGCGGUUGGGGAUGGACUCGCGGCUUAUCAGCUUGUUGGUGGGGUAGUGGCUUACCAAGGCUUUGACGGGUAGCCGGCCUGGGAGGGUGACCGGCCACAUUGGGACUGAGAUACGGCCCAGACUCCUACGGGAGGCAGCAGUGGGGAAUAUUGCACAAUGGGCGGAAGCCUGAUGCAGCAACGCCGCGUGCGGGAUGACGGCCUUCGGGUUGUAAACCGCUUUCGCCUGUGACGAAGCGUGAGUGACGGUAAUGGGUAAAGAAGCACCGGCUAACUACGUG
rnacentral:rRNA from 1 species